AGGGGCCUCGGGGUGCCCGCGGGAAGUCGCGGGCACAGCCGCGUCCAAAAAUAAGCGCCCGAAGGUCGUGGUGCCAAAACCCCCCAGCGGAAAAAUGGCCAAAAAACGGGUGGGCUAUAGCCUUGGUGGGGGGCGCGGGCGAAGUUCGUCCGCCGGACUUGGAAUGGGGCGAGACUUUGCGAGGGGCCUCGGGGCACCAAAAAUAAGCCGCGGGCAAAGCCGCGCCCAAAUAUAAGCGCCCGAAGGUCGUGGUGCCAAAACCCCCCAGCGGAAAAAUGGCCAAAAAACGGGUGGGCUAUAGCCUUGGUGGGGGGCGCGGGCGAAGUUCGUCCGCCGGACUCGGAAUGGGGCGAGACUUUGCGAGGGGCCUCGGGGCGCCAAAAAUAAGCCGCGGGCAAAGCCGUACCCAAAAAUAAGUGCCCGAAGGUCGUGGUGCCAAAACCCCCCAGCGGAAAAAUGGCCAAAAAACGGGUGGGCUAUAGCCUUGGUGGGGGGCGCGGGCGAAGUUCGUCUGCCGGACUCGGAAAGGGGCGAGACUUUGCGCGGGGCCUCGGGGCGGCAAAAAUAAGCCGCGGGCAAAGCCGCGCCCAAAAAUAAGCACCCGAAGGUCGUGGUGCCAAAACCCCCCAGCGGAAAAAUGGCCAAAAAACGGGUGGGCUAUAGCCUUGGUGGGGGGCGCGGGCGAAGUUCGUCCGCCGGACUCGGAAUGGGGCGAGACUUUGUGAGAGGCCUCGGGGUGCCCGCAGGAAGUCGCGGGCACAGCCGCGCCCAAAAAUAAGCUCCCGAAGGUCGUGGUGCCAAAACUCCCCAGCGGAAAAAUGGCCAAAAAACGGGUGGGCUAUAGCCUUGGUGGGGGGCGCGGGCGAAGUUCGUCCGCCGGACUCGGAAUGGGGCAAGACAUUGCGAGGGGCCUCGGGGUGGCAAAAAUAAGCCGCGGGCAAAGCCACGCCCGAAAAUAAGCCCCCGAAGGUCGUGGUGCAAAAACCCCCCCGCGGAAAAAUGGCCAAAAAACGGGUGCGCUAUAGCCUUGGUGGGGGGCGCGGGCGAAGUUCGUCCGCCGGACUCGGAAUGGGGCGAGACUUUGCUAGGGGCCUCGGGGUCCCCGCGGGAAGUCGCGGGCACAGCCGCACCCAAAAAUAAGCACCCGAAGGUCGUGGUGCCAAAACCCCCCAGCGGAAAAAUGGCCAAAAAACGGGUGGGCUAUACCCUUGGUGGGGGGCGCGGGCGAAGUUCGUCCGCCGGACUCGGAAUGGGGCGAGACUUUGCGAGGGGCCUCGGGGUGCCCGCGGGAANN
rnacentral:lncRNA from 1 species